GUGCUUCAGCAGCACAUAUGCUAAAAUUAGAAGGCUACAGAGAAGAUUAGCAUGAACCCUGUGCAAGAAUGACACAAAUUCGUGAAGCUUUUUAUAUUAAA
ensembl:snRNA U6 U6 spliceosomal RNA